AUGGCAAUAGUUUUUCUUUUCCUCAUCUGUUUGAGCAAGGGGCGACUCCUUGCCUGCCUGAAAAGAAGCCAAAGAUGUAUUCUGGAAAUUGAAGUCCAAAGAACCCCAUUCUCUGCUUUUUGCCCAGAUGGAGAGCCUGAGAACGUCAGAUCGCAAGAUGCCUUCAGGAGACAUCGUGCCAAACCCCUUCUCUUCCAGCUUCCAGGUAAAGACAGCAGCUCUACAGAUAAGUGAAGGGGAAGUUGCCUUUCUCCCCUUGCUCCCAUCCCCUACCUUUGUGCUAAUGGUAACCAUGUCUCUAAUGCUAGUCUUCUCUGACUUUCCAAUGAUCAAGGCUGUUGAUUGGUAGAUGGUAAUAUUUUGGACAAGUUGACCAUUGGCAUUUAGUUUCAGGUGAUUUUUCCAUCACCCUACUCUUGUGGCCAAAGUCCUGGUGAAAUGCCGGGUUAGGUCGAGCAUCAACAUUGAGGAAAUGGCAGAUAGUGUCCAGGGGUUGAGGGGGCAAAUCUGCAACUUUUGCAGGUUAAAGGUGGCUUUUGGGGUGCAAUGUCUGUAUUUGUGACCCCAUUGGAGAACGCUGAUCCAGCAGAGCGGCAAAGAAGGCAGCCGGUGUCCGCCCCCAGUUUGAGGAAUGGGGGCCAGAUUGGGAGCAGGAAGAGAUGUGAAGGUAUUUGAAUGCUGUGGGGCAGGGGCCCAAGUAGUAGAAAGCAAGCAGAGGAAAAGUCCGUGAGACACAGCUGGGAAGGACAAGAGAAGGGAUGUAGGAGUAGGAGGGAAUUCAGAGAAGGGGAGAAGGGAGACUUUAGGGGCUCAUGGCUGAUGGUUUCAUGUAUUAGCUCUUUGUGUUAAAUUUAGGACAGAGCUUUGCACUUGGUUGCUCAAUGAAUAGCAUCGAUUGAUGAUCAACAGAAUAGUUGAGGAAGGUGGAGGGGAACAGUUAGAGCAGUGAGGGUAGUUGCUUGGGGUGAGGCAUAUGGAAUACUGAGGUAGAGGUGUACUCUCUAAAAAUGUGGAGCAUUGAACUCACAAUUCACUUUUGAGCGGUGCUGCCCUUUCUCCUAGUUGGGAAUGGACCCCCAAGAACUCAUAGCAUUAAGGGCCUUUGUAGACAUGUUGGCCGCCCGGUGCUGCGAAAGAAUUAUGGCCCAUAUUUUGCACCUCCUAGGGCUAUGGAAAUGGUAGUUUUAUGAUAAAGUGCUUAUGAGCGAAGCACUGUGCUAAGUGCUGUGGUAGAUGCAAUGUAAUCCUAUUACAGUCCUUGUGCCACCAGGGUCUCCCACUCUAAGGGGGAGGGAGAACAUGCGUUGAUUCUCCAUUUUACAGAUGAGGAAACUGAGACCCAGAGGAGUGAUUUGCCCACGAUCACCCAGCAGGCAAGUGGCAGAUCAGGUCUAAAAUCCGGGGCCUCUGGCUACCGGGCCCAUGCUCUUUUCAUGAGGCCACACUGC
rnacentral:lncRNA from 1 species